GACGUGUGGCUGUCGUAAAAACCCUAUUUGUAAACAACCAGCCCUUUAACUCGGGGCUGCGUCAUAAACACGGCGCGCUUGGAAGACCACGAUGUCAUCUUCCUUCUGUCAGGAGGAUCCAAGUGAAGCUACAGGAGUUUCAUUAACGUCAACAACUUGGACCGAACAGUUUGUUUUGCUUGAUGAAGAGCAGGAAGGGCAGCCUGGAGAGAAAGAGAAGCCGGGUUGAGCCCACUACCAUCAUCCACGUACCACGAGGAAGAUGAGGGAGAGAAAUGAUCCUACCAUUAAAGAGACUGUGAAAAGAACGUUGAGAACAUCACCACUCUACAGGAAGACACAGUCCAGUAAUGGGUGUCAGAAGUUCAGUAGUGAACGACAGAAACAAACAAUCCAAAUUACCUGCAGAAAGCCCUUGAUGGACGCUUCAGCUGCAUCGUCAGACUGGCAGUACUGAUGCAUUUACUGAGAGGGGACGUGAGGGCCUACUCUGCGUGCUCAGAGUUCAAGCCCAGCAGGCUGCAGCGGGCCUGACAUAUUCUGGAACAGCAGCACAGUCUUUGGAUGACUCCUCUGAAGAUGAAAACAUGGCGAGUUCUUCUCAAGAGAAGCAGUACAGGUGUGCCUCAGCUCCACGGUCCCUCCUGCAGCCUCCGCUCCUGAUGCUAUCCUCAUGUCUCCAUCACACCAAGCAGCAGACCUGGAUUGACAGACCUUUCUCCAGAGCUGCCCCCUCCCUCUGAAACCCCCCUCUCCAAAACACUAUUUGUGUAGUUUUUAAAGUAUUUUUUGCAUGAGAAUUGUUGAUC